rnacentral:misc_RNA from 1 species
GUGUGUGUGUGUGUGUGUAUUCCUAAAUUAAUUAGGAUUGAGUUCCUAUUUAGGGCAUAAUUAUAGGAAUUAGAUUCCUAAUUAGAAAACACAAUUGUAGUAUAUAAUGUAUUGAUCUCAUUAUGAAAUACAUAUGGGUUUUAGUUCCUAUUUAGGGCUUAAUUAUAGGAAUUAAAUUCGUAAUUAGAAUACUCAAUUGUAGUAUAUAUAUAUUGUAUUAAUCUCAUUAUUAAAUACACAUAGGUUUUACCAUUCAAACUUACAAAUAGAACUAAUUUUUAGGCCUUGAAUAUGUUAUAAAGAUUAAAGCUGGCAAUUCAGUGUAGUGCUGCCUCAGUUUUUACAAUCCGUUAACAAAUUGUCUGCUUCUGCCUUAUGCCUCAUCAAUCUCUUUCAGGUUCAAAAUCUUACUCGCAA